ensembl:lncRNA
UGUCAUCUCUAAGCUCCUCACACAUCUUUACCUGCACAUGAGGAAAAUCACUCCUGUAGAAUGCAGAUGUUCAGAGGGAGCUGAUGCCACAUCUGGUCCAGCUGAUGGAAGGUCUUGAAGUUCUCUGACUGGCCUCGACUGAAGAUGGUCGUCUCACUGGAUUUAAGAUGCACAAUGAGGGACGUCUGCAGAGACUGAGAAAGAGUCUCACCACAUCCUGACAUGAGGAAAAAGACUUUAUUGAAGACUACAAUGAGAAAAACUAUCAGACAGCAGACGGCUGCAUUCAAGUCUGUAGCUGCUGAAUUCAUGGAUGAAUCAUCUGGCACUAGAGAGGAAGACCAUCAAACAUCCACGUCAGCUGAUGGAGGUCCAAGAGUCUCACCGAACAAACAACCUACAGAGUGAAGACCUCAAAUCUGAUUGGACGGCCUCCUAUUCAGCCACAUGUGUGAACAAAUGCCUCUAAGUUGAUUUGUUUUCUAAAAUAAAUCUAGUUUGAGUCCUAAUCUAUGCCUGUGUGUUUGCUUCUUUACAUCGCUGUUAACAGUUUAGGCUGUUAGAUUGUUCCAGAUAAGACAAGUAAAAGAUUCUUCAGAGCCGUUCUACCACGAGCCUGACAGGAAGAACUCCAACAGCUACUGAAUGUUCCUGUGGUUCCCUCAAG